AAAGCAGGGCGCAAUUACAGUACUUCAUUUUGUGGAAGCACUGCCAUUACCCUGCUGAGAGCAGCAUCCUGAUGCAGAGACACAUCAUCUCACCUCUGUGGGAUAGAUACUCUGCAACAGGAACAACU